UUAUCAUUUAGAGGAAGGAGAAGUCGUAACAAGGUUUCCGUAGGUGAACCUGCGGAAGGAUCAUUGUCGAAACCUGCCCAGCAGAAAGACCCGCGAACAUGUUCACCUCGACGUGCGGGGAGGGGCGCCUCGGCCCCCCGCCCCGAGCCGGGAGCAACCCCCGGCGCAGCAACGAAACCCCGGCGCGAACCGCGCCAAGGAACACGAACUCAUGGCGUGCCCGCCCGCGCCCGGUCCGCCGGCGCGCGGGGGCGGCACCUGUCCCUACUUAGAAACGUAACGACUCUCGGCAACGGAUAUCUCGGCUCUCGCAUCGAUGAAGAACGUAGCGAAAUGCGAUACUUGGUGUGAAUUGCAGAAUCCCGUGAACCAUCGAGUCUUUGAACGCAAGUUGCGCCCGAAGCCUUCCGGCCGAGGGCACGUCUGCCUGGGCGUCACGCAUCGCGCCUCCCCCCCCGCCCGCCGGGGGGGCAGGAUGAUGGCCUCCCGUGCCCCCAGCCGGGGCGCGGCUGGCCCAAAACGGGAGCCCGCGGGGACGCGCUGCGGCGGCGACUGGUGGUGGACGAGGCCUUGAGGGGCCACCGUUUGCAUCGCGCCGCGCACGCACGCCGCCGGGAGGGGCUCGUCGGACCCUAAGGUGUGCUGAAGGCACAAAACCGUUGCGACCCCAGGUCAGGCGGGGCUACCCGCUGAGUUA
rnacentral:rRNA from 1 species